UGAGGUGAAGUUGGUGCGAGU
rnacentral:siRNA from 1 species